AUUGAACGCUGGCGGCAGGCCUAACACAUGCAAGUCGAGCGGAUGAAGGGAGCUUGCUCCUGGAUUCAGCGGCGGACGGGUGAGUAAUGCCUAGGAAUCUGCCUGGUAGUGGGGGAUAACGUCCGGAAACGGGCGCUAAUACCGCAUACGUCCUGAGGGAGAAAGUGGGGGAUCUUCGGACCUCACGCUAUCAGAUGAGCCUAGGUCGGAUUAGCUAGUUGGUGGGGUAAAGGCCUACCAAGGCGACGAUCCGUAACUGGUCUGAGAGGAUGAUCAGUCACACUGGAACUGAGACACGGUCCAGACUCCUACGGGAGGCAGCAGUGGGGAAUAUUGGACAAUGGGCGAAAGCCUGAUCCAGCCAGGCCGCGUGUGUGAAGAAGGUCUUCGGAUUGUAAAGCACUUUAAGUGGGGAGGAAGGGCAGUAAGUUAAUACCUUGCUGUUUUGACGUUACCAACAGAAUAAGCACCGGCUAACUUCGUG
rnacentral:rRNA from 1 species